AUAAAGAGUGAGUGCUAUCUGCCUUAUGUCCUAUGUUAUUAGGUGUGCAGACUAUGCAUAUACACACAUGUAUAUACCCAGAAGUAUAUGUUAAGAUUCAU
rnacentral:miRNA from 1 species